AUGAACGCUAGCGGCAGGCUUAACACAUGCAAGUCGAGGGGCAGCGAGGGUAGCAUACCUGUCGGCGACCGGCGCAAGGGUGCGUAACGCGUGAGCAACAUGCCCGUAUCAGGGGGAUAAUCCAGGGAAACUUGGUCUAAUACCGCAUAAUAAUCAUUUGGGGCAUCUUGGAUGAUUUAAAAUUUCGAUGGAUACGGAUUGGCUCGCGUGACAUUAGCUGGAUGGUAGGGUAACGGCCUACCAUGGCUACGAUGUCUAGGGGUUCUGAGAGGAAGGUCCCCCACACUGGAACUGAGACACGGUCCAGACUCCUACGGGAGGCAGCAGUGAGGAAUAUUGGACAAUGGAUGGAAAUCUGAUCCAGCCAUGCCGCGUGCAGGAAGACGGCCCUAUGGGUUGUAAACUGCUUUUGUAUGGGAGCAAUAAGGGCUACGUGUAGCCUGAUGAGAGUACCAUACGAAUAAGGACCGGCUAACUCCGUG
rnacentral:rRNA from 1 species